rnacentral:rRNA from 1 species
GUUUGAUCCUGGCUCAGGAUGAACGCUAGCGGCAGGCCUAACACAUGCAAGUCGAGGGGUAACAGAGAGUGCUUGCACUCUGCUGACGACCGGCGCACGGGUGCGUAACGCGUAUACAAUCUACCUUGUACUGGAGAAUAGCCCAGAGAAAUUUGGAUUAAUGCUCCAUAGUAUGUCGACCUCGCAUGGGGAUGACAUUAAAGAUUACGGUAUAAGAUGAGUAUGCGUCCUAUUAGCUAGAUGGAGUGGUAACGGCACCCCAUGGCAACGAUAGGUAGGGGCCCUGAGAGGGGGAUCCCCCACACUGGUACUGAGACACGGACCAGACUCCUACGGGAGGCAGCAGUGAGGAAUAUUGGACAAUGGAGGCAACUCUGAUCCAGCCAUGCCGCGUGCAGGAAGACUGCCCUAUGGGUUGUAAACUGCUUUUAUACAGGAAGAAACACCUCUACGUGUAGAGGCUUGACGGUACUGUAAGAAUAAGGAUCGGCUAACUCCGUGCCAGCAGCCGCGGUAAUAAGGGCGAAUU